AACGCACAUUGCGCUCCCUGGUAUUCCGAGGAGCAUGCCCGUUUCAGAAUCAUUAAGAACCUCACCAAACACAUGUUUUGGCAUGUGGGAGGUGGAUGUUGGGUGUUUUGUGUUCGUGCAAUCACCUUAAAAUGAUCGUAUGUGCUCCACCUGGUCCAGUUGGUUCUCAAAGUGCAACAGAUAUUUUCUAUUCGCGAUGAGGCUGAAGGGAGCAGUUGACGGUGCAUACCCAUGGCACACGGUUGGAAUGCCGAAGGCACUUCAACUGAUAACUUGGUCUGAAAUCGGGCAAGAAAACCCGCUGAACUUAA
rnacentral:misc_RNA from 1 species